rnacentral:rRNA from 1 species
GAUGAACGCUGGCGGCGUGCAUACACAUUCAAGUCGAACGGAAUUACAGGAGAGCUUGCUCGAAUGUAAUUUAGUGGCGGACGGGUGAGUAACGCGUGAGCAACCUGCCCUUGUGUGGGGGAUACCGUCUGGAAACGGACGUUAAUACCGCAUAACGUUACGGAAUCGCAUGGUUCUGUAACCAAAGAUUUAUUGCGCAAGGAUGGGCUCGCGUUGGAUUAGAUAGUUGGUGAGGUAACGGCCCACCAAGUCUGCGAUCCAUAGCCGGACUGAGAGGUUGAACGGCCACAUUGGAACUGAGAUACGGUCCAGACUCCUACGGGAGGCAGCAGUGGGGAAUAUUGGGCAAUGGGCGAAAGCCUGACCCAGCGACGCCGCGUGAAGGAAGAAGGUCUUCGGAUUGUAAACUUCUUUUAUUAGGGACGAACACAUGACGGUACCUAAUGAAUAAGCCACGGCUAACUACGUG